rnacentral:lncRNA from 1 species
GAAAUAUCUGAGAUAUUCUAGUUAAUAUAUAUAUUAUAUAUAUGUAAGUAAUGAUUAUUAUUAAUAUUUUAUAUUAUAUUAUAUUAUAUAUAUAUAUAUGACAAAGAAAGAAAGAAAAGAAACAGAGAGCAAAACAAAACAAAACAGAGAAGGGAGAAAGAAAGAAACAGAGAGCAAAACAAAACAGAAAAGGAAGGAAGGAAAGAAAGAAAGAAAAGAAAAGAAAAAGGGAAAUUUGGGGUUUUAAGGUUCAAAGUAAUUUGGUAAGUCAAUUUAAUCCCCUUUUCUCUUAAUUUUGAUAUUUUUUUUGAAAUUUUGAAAGUUAGUAGAUUAUUAAGCAUGGUUCAUGUUGAAUAAAUUGUUAAAUUAGGGAUGUAUUUGAUAGAAAUUUUGAUUGGAAUUGAAUAAAGGAUUGAAUUGUAAACUAAACUAUAAGUUUUGAAUUUUAGGGAUUAAUUUGAAAUAAAUUCGGAAUUAUGAAAACAUGAUAAAAAUUAAAUAGUUAAAUAUGAGUUUAGUAAGAAUUAAGAGAGAAUAUAGAGUUAGAUUGGGAAAAAUAAAAUUAGUAUUGGUAAGGGAUUAAAUUAGAAUUUGGGUAAAGUUUAGGUAUAAAAGGAAAUAUUUUAAUGAAAUUGUGUAUUAAUGAUUUUUAAUUGUUUAAUUACGUAGCUAAUGUCGUGUACGAGUCAUUG